rnacentral:rRNA from 1 species
ACGUCUACAUUAGAUACCCGCGUAGUCCCAGCCGUAAACUAUGCGCGUUAGGUGUAUCGGUGACCACGAGUCACCGAGGUGCCGAAGGGAAACCGUGAAACGUGCCGCCUGGGAAGUACGGUCGCAAGGCUGAAACUUAAGGAAUUGGCGGGGGAGCACCACAACAGGUGGAGCCUGCGGUUUAAUUGGACUCAACGCCGGGAAGCUCACCGGAUAGGACAGCAGAAUGAUUGCCGGGCUGAAGACCCUGCAUGACUAGCUG